rnacentral:rRNA from 1 species
CCUACGGGAGGCAGCAGUGAGGAAUAUUGGUCAAUGGGCGUAAGCCUGAACCAGCCAAGUCGCGUGAGGGAUGAAGGUUCUAUGGAUCGUAAACCUCUUUUAUAAGGGAAUAAAGUGUGGGACGUGUCCUAUUUUGUAUGUACCUUAUGAAUAAGGAUCGGCUAACUCCGUGCCAGCAGCCGCGGUAAUACGGAGGAUCCGAGCGUUAUCCGGAUUUAUUGGGUUUAAAGGGUGCGUAGGCGGCCUUUUAAGUCAGCUGUGAAAGUCUGUGGCUCAACCAUAGAAUUGCCGUUGAAACUGGGGGGCUUGAGUAUGUUUGAGGCAGGCGGAAUGCGUGGUGUAGCGGUGAAAUGCGUAGAGAUCACGCAGAAUCCCGAUGGCGAAGGCAGCCUGCCAAGCCAUGACUGACGCUGAGGCACGAAAGCGUGGGGAUCAAACAGGAUUAGAUACCCCAGUAGUC